GUUAGGAAUUCUAGCCAUUGCAAUCCUUUGCUUGUUAUGAGCAUUAAUACAAUCUCCAUUUAACUUUUUCAUGUUCAUUAGUAUCAAAAAACGAUGAACUCCACAAAAUUUACAUUUUGUACAGAUACUAAGAUGUGGGCCACCUCCUAUGAACAAGGCCAUGGCUUCUCAUUUAGAAGCUCUUGGAUAUGCCUCAGAGAUGCAAUUCCAGUUUUAAGCCUCGCUCAAGAUUUUUUCAUCUUUAUAUGGUCCUGACUUUAUGUCAUUCUUGGAGAAGUUAUCUUCAUCUGCAGGUUUUUAGUAUCCGGAAUUUUUCGAUGUAAUUCCCUCGUGAAUAAAUUAUAGACCGCUUUUCUUUUGAUUGAAUAACAGAUUUUCCCUGAGCUUAGCUUACUUACAAUUGAUAGCAUUAUCUCCGAAUUUUAGUUAAAACUGUGUAGUGGUUAUGCUCAAUGGAGACUUUUCGGGAGAGCUAAAAUGCAUUGACACUAAAAAUCUGUAAGAGCUAAAAUCUUUUCUCGAAGUUGGUUCAGCAUUUUCAACUUCUGUAGAAUCCUUUGAACCACUCGAAUAAUAGAAUAACAGCUCUGGGCGACCGUAUGACACUCUAUUCAUUCAGAUUCUGGGCGACUUGCAAACUUGGCCGAUGGCGUUACAGCAUUCUUCGGUCCCCUUAUUUGGGCCUUCACCUUGAUUUGUUUGAUUGGACUUCGUUCUUUGGGCUAUCUGAUUUGGGGAUCCUCCAAUUGGGCUUUACUCCUUGGGCCGUUUGAUUUGGACUGAAUUUUUAUGUGUCAACAAUAUUUAUUUCAAUGGCCAAUCAAUUUAAAUAAUAUUUUUAAACAUUGACUCUAUACAAUAGAGAGCAUCAUAUAUUUAGAGAGUCUUUUGAAGAUACUCUAAUAUUAUUCCUUAGCACUGUUUACCUUUAAGCAGUGAUGUGGUAUGAAUUAAUUUGUCAUCUUAAAUCCUACAUCUAGGACGGCAAAUGAAUUAAAGUCAUCUAAAUGUCACACAUCACUGCUUAUGGGUAAGCACUAUCAAUGAAUAGCAUUUUUUGAUUUAGUAUUACUUGUUUGUGCGUGCGGGGUGGCGAAAGGCUUUGGAGAUGCUGAAUUAAAAUUAAUAAAUUCGACAUACAUGAAAGGAUAGAGGGUUCAUAUUCUAUUUCCUAUUAGUCGUGCAUUUAAUAUCGCUACUAUAGAAUUGAUGAACCUAAAUAUUCUCUGGCAUAAUCAAUGCAAACAGCCUCAUGAUGUAGAUAAGUUUGUGCCUGCUUUAAAGAAAUUUGCUAUUGAUGUUUGAUAAUAUCUCACAUUUACUUAUCUCGUGCCUUGUAAAACUAUUAUAUUAAUUCAGGAUUUAGAUUCUUAAUGCAUUCUGAAGAAACUUACAAGGCAUUGACAUAAUUUUGUUUGUAAUUAGACUUAACAAAUUUCAUUACCUUGAUGAUCCUCGUUUGUUGUCUAAUUCUGUGUAGCCUCCUGAGGUGUGGAAUGGUGGUGUUGGGUUCGUAUCCAAGGAAACAAUUCAAGCUCACUGCCCUGCGCCGGCAUCUGAUAUUCAGGUUAGGAAUUCUAGCCAUUGCAAUCCUUUGCUUGUUAUGAGCAUUAAUACAAUCUCCAUUUAACUUUUUCAUGUUCAUUAGUAUCAAAAAACGAUGAACUCCACAAAAUUUACAUUUUGUACAGAUACUAAGAUGUGGGCCACCUCCUAUGAACAAGGCCAUGGCUUCUCAUUUAGAAGCUCUUGGAUAUGCCUCAGAGAUGCAAUUCCAGUUUUAAGCCUCGCUCAAGAUUUUUUCAUCUUUAUAUGGUCCUGACUUUAUGUCAUUCUUGGAGAAGUUAUCUUCAUCUGCAGGUUUUUAGUAUCCGGAAUUUUUCGAUGUAAUUCCCUCGUGAAUAAAUUAUAGACCGCUUUUCUUUUGAUUGAAUAACAGAUUUUCCCUGAGCUUAGCUUACUUACAAUUGAUAGCAUUAUCUCCGAAUUUUAGUUAAAACUGUGUAGUGGUUAUGCUCAAUGGAGACUUUUCGGGAGAGCUAAAAUGCAUUGACACUAAAAAUCUGUAAGAGCUAAAAUCUUUUCUCGAAGUUGGUUCAGCAUUUUCAACUUCUGUAGAAUCCUUUGAACCACUCGAAAUUCUUUUCUGCUUACCCUUCUCGGGAGCUUUCUGUGAAAUCCUUUGAACCGCUCGAAGGUUACCUGUAUGUUGCUUCGUGUUCUGCUUCUCUGGGUUGGGAUCUGGAAAUAAUGCGCGAUGGCUUAACUGAAAGUUUUGCCCUUUCUCAUUGAUCUGAAGCACAUGCAUAUGUUAUUGACGAUAGUUUUGUAU
rnacentral:lncRNA from 1 species